GAGUGUUGGUGAUAUCUCCAAUGGAAGCUCUUCUCUCGAAUUCAUCAAAAACAUGAAAUCUCUAAAUACAUUAACAUUUAGAAACAGCAAUCUCACUGGGACAAUCCCCUCUAAUAUCGGGGAAUACUCAAAACUGAGACAAGUUGAUUUGAGCUUCAACAAACUACAUGGACCAAUUCCGGCUUCACUUUUCAACUUGAGUGGA